rnacentral:rRNA from 1 species
UAGCGUAAUAAUUUGUUUUUUAAUUGAAAAAGGGUAUGAAAGGUUUGAGACUAUAUUUCUGUGACACCUAAGCUUAAAGAAAUUAAAGAGGGGGUAAAAAUUCUUUCAUGCACAAAGGGACGAUAAGACCCUAAAAUCUUUUUUUUUGUUAACAAAGGGGACUCAAAAUAAAAAUUGACUGGGGUAGUUUAAACAGAAAUAUUGUUAAAACCUAAACAUCGUGUUGGAGGGAGAGCUUUUAAAUAAAAAUUUUUGGUUAAGAUACUUUAGGGAUAACAGCAUAAUAAUUUUGGGGAGCCCCUAUCUAUAAAGUUGUUUAUGACCUCGAUGUUGAAUUAAUUUUUUUUUUGAGGGAUAAGGCAAGCAAAAAAGGUUUGUUCAACCUAUGAUAUUUUACGUGAUUU